AGUGAACGCUGGCGGUAGGCCUAACACAUGCAAGUCGAACGGCAGCACAGUAAGAGCUUGCUCUUACGGGUGGCGAGUGGCGGACGGGUGAGGAAUACAUCGGAAUCUACUUUUUCGUGGGGGAUAACGUAGGGAAACUUACGCUAAUACCGCAUACGACCUACGGGUGAAAGCAGGGGAUCUUCGGACCUUGCGCGAUUGAAUGAGCCGAUGUCGGAUAGCCAAUUGGGGGGGUAAAGGCCCACCAAGGGGACGAUCCGUAGCUGGUCUGAGAGGAUGAUCAGCCAAAAGGGAACUGAGAAACGGUCCAGACUCCUACGGGAGGCAGCAGGGGGGAAUAUUGGACAAUGGGCGCAAGCCUGAUCCAGCCUAACCGCGUGGGUGAAGAAGGCCUUCGGGUUGUAAAGCCCUUUUGUUGGGAAAGAAAAGCAGCAGGUUAAUACCCCGCUGUUCGGAAGGGACCCAAAGAAGAAGAACCGGCGAAAUUAGU
rnacentral:rRNA from 1 species